AAUAAUAAUCAUUCUUUUUUUAGGGAAGAGGGAGGUGGUGGCGAGCAAGUAAAAUCAGUUCGUCCUAAUGCAAUAGAAUUCAAAAGAGAGAUGGAUGAUAUGCUUCUACCAGUUUUGGAAAACAAAUAUGUGUACCAAAACAUUGAAUCCGAAUAUUACCGCAAAGCAAUGCAGGGAUUAGCGAAUAAAGGAGGCUUAUUAUCCGGAUUCCGUAAAUUUUUUUUAGCGUUGAGACAUAAGUCCCGACUGUCAACUGAUGUUUAUACGUUAUUAUUUCUCUGUGAUUUUAUUAGCUUUUUCAUUUUACUGUUUGGAUUUCCUAAAUUUGUGGUAAGUUUUCGAAUCUACAGGGCGAGAAAAAGGUAGCAUGCAUUUUAUAACUAAUAAAUAAUAUAUUUCAGAUCGAUAUUCUUAUCAAAUAUUUGCUUAGAAUAUUAAAGCAAUGUCGUAACACAGAGAAAAACGACAGUUAUACGACAUUCUCAUUUAAUUAUAAUUCAAAUUAAACUUUUUUCUUUUUAAUAAUUUUAGAGGUUUCCUUUCCUUUUCAGAUUCUAAUUCUCGACGAGCGGUCGCUUUGCAUUGCUGGUGAAAAAUAACCACGAGAUUCGAAAGAUUGGCAGUCAGCCAUCCUAAGCUUCUGGCAGCGAAAAACAGUUUGCCGACAACGCGCGCUGUUAAUUUUGGCCAGUUAGAGGCCCUUUAAUAAAAGCGCGAGAAAGGGAAGCUCAAAAUAAAUCUGAUGUCUAUUUGUGCAAUUUUGGCGCUGCUGGCGGCUGCGAGACCUGUCAUACUCCCACCGUUGGAAGCGUGACCUUUAACCCCACCCCCAAGCAGACACAGCUUAUUCACUUCGCUUCGUGAAUCCUGUUGGUGUCCUCAGCCCAGCAAUCUCUUUCAGGCAACAGCUCAAAGACUCUCACUAACGGCAAGUUUUUAUCCUUAACGAGGACCACGUCAUUCACAACUAAACCAGUCGUGGGCGUGCAGGAGUGUUACUUGGAGUGGUCGUCCCUGAGGAAUAAACGCCUCAGUUCAAGCAACUCGUUUGUUUGCGCGAACAAAGUUAUUUGCAUUGUCGGACCACAUGUGCAUAUAAAUCGCUUUAGGCCGUUCCAGAACUCAACUAUAGAAAGAUCUAUAAUGAGCACCAAAUUUAUCGCCUUGGUUGCAAAGCAAAUGAAACCCACGCGCAGCAUCUUACAGCCUUUUUGCCCGCCAGGCUUGUAAAAAAAUGGUCCACAGACCAUUGACUUGCCAGUGACUUCAAACGCAACAGCUCCAUCGAGACGCUCCUUUGGCAGAUGCGCCAUUAUGUGCUCAACUAGAUGAGGUUUCGCUCGGAAACACCUGACGCACUUGUUUACUGCCCCCUUUACGUGUUUCCUCCCCCCAAUAGGCCAAUAUUGAGAUCGAAUUAUGCUGAGAAGAGUGCGAGGACCAGUAUGUAGGUUGCGCUCAUGAUCGUAAUUUAUGAUGGCCAUAAUCACUGGGUGAUAUUUUGGUAGGAUGAUUGGGUGACCGCCAUUGAAAUCUAACGAAGAGUUCUGCAACCGUCCAUCUACUCGAAGAAGUUAAACUUAGUCAAUGAAGGGUGACAGCGAGGCAAGUGGACUAGAUGGCGGUACUACCCCUUUGGUCUCCAAAGAUUUAUUGUCACUCCAUAAAUGAGCACGAUAAGCCAGACUCACCAACGUCAGCCCAGGAUGUCGAAUGCGUUUGCAAAACUUAUCGAUGUAUCCAAACGUACGCUGAAAAGCAGCAAAAAUUUGGAGCAUGCAACAAUGUCAGUGUACGGAGAUCUUAUAAGCAAUACCCUUCGACGAAGUUCCAGCACUGGCAUCUCCGUUACUACUGUUUGUAGCCAAUCAGUUAUGGGGCUGCUCAGAAGGGGCGGACUCCUUAAGCUCGCUGGGAAGAGCUCCUCCUGAAAGAAUAUCUGCCAGACUUAAAGAAGUGGAAAUGUAGCGCCAUUCCAUUGAACCAGUCAACUCCUGAAUUGCAACUUUUCUACAAAUACGUUAAGUCUUAAGGGAUACCCCCGGAUCCGAGAAGGCACCACAGUUGUUUCGCAGCAGCUGUAGAAUUUCCCUUCGAACACGUUCAGUUUACGGACUUCAGAUAUAAGCCGAGCUAGGAGUUCAGCUCCGCAGAGCUCAAGUUUUGGCACGAUUAGGGUCUGCAAAGGAGCCACUCGAGACUUUGAACAAAGUAAAUGGCUGCUGUGCGAAUGCCCCCUAGAAACGAUAUGUACACAGGCUCCGUACGCUUCAAUGCUGGCAUCGCAAAAACCAUGAAUCUCUAAUUCAGAGCUUGGAGACAGGGACAGUCGUGCGAAUGAGGCAUGCCGAAUUUGCGACAAACUACACCAGAUAUCUCGCCUUUCCGAUUUUUGUGCCAAAUGAAGGCUUUCGUCCCAGGACAACUUUGCCUUGCACAGCAGCUGAAGAAAAAUCUUAGACUUUGUGAUUACUGGGCCAACCAAACCAGUACAUUUGAACACUUCCUUAGUUUAAAAUUGCCACUGGACAAGACAACAUAAAUGUUACGGCGAAGAGUCUCAGCACCCACUUGAAAUGUCGCCUCAUCAUCCAUAGGCUUCGUGUCAUACGUAACAGUAUCAAGCUUAAGCACGCUCAGAUCAUUUUGAGGAGAAUCUCUAAGAAGCUAACUUCAGUGGAAACUCUGACACAACGGUACAUUUUACAGAUGUCUCCUGUGAUUGCAACUGGAUGCGAGCAAAAGCAAAGAAGAGUCCGGAAUAGUUUUGGCUGCAUCACUGGACCAGCCAGGACCAGGUGUCUUCUUUUAUGACACAAUGAUGCAGGCAGGCAUUGGAUUCUUCGUUCGGAUUUUUUCAAAUAUUUCCCAUCUGCAAGUACUCCUCAAUAAAUGCCUUGUAUUGGGCAUUGACGGCUGGACGAUGAUCUAGUUUUCUCUCAAGAGAUAAGAAUCUUUGCAGAGCUUGAUUGUAGGACUUUCCCAACAUAUUUAAACUGAACUUGUCUGGCAAUCGAACAGAAUAAUCUCCAGCCGCUCCAACAAGAAAUUCGGUUUAAGCGGCAAGAUGAGCGCAAAGACGAUUUAGCAGCAGUUUCCGAUAUUACGCUAAGAUUUUCGAUUAUUGUAGACAAAUAAUGUUUAUGCACAACUCACUCAGCAGUAACAGAGAAUUAAAGUUAAAGCUUUAAAUAACCUUGUAUAAUCUGAAAAAUAUAUUGUUCAUGCACAAAUCACUCAGCACCAACAGAAAAUUAAAGUUUAAUCUUUAAACAGCUUGUUAUGCACUAUAUUGUUAUUGCACUAUAUAUUGUUUAUGAAAAUUAGAAUACGACUGGUUAUUUUAGUAAAGUA